GAUGAACGCUAGCUACAGGCUUAACACAUGCAAGUCGCGGGGCAGCAUGGGGGUUGCUUGCAACCCCUGAUGGCGACCGGCGCACGGGUGAGUAACGCGUAUCCAACCUGCCCCUCACCACGGGAUAACCCGGCGAAAGUCGGACUAAUACCGUAUGUUGUCCAUUGACGGCAUCCGAUUUGGACGAAAGGCUUGGCGGUGAGGGAUGGGGAUGCGUCCGAUUAGCUCGACGGCGGGGUAACGGCCCACCGUGGCGACGAUCGGUAGGGGUUCUGAGAGGAAGGUCCCCCACACUGGAACUGAGACACGGUCCAGACUCCUACGGGAGGCAGCAGUGAGGAAUAUUGGUCAAUGGGCGGAAGCCUGAACCAGCCAAGUAGCGUGCAGGAUGACGGCCCUAUGGGUUGUAAACUGCUUUUAUGCGGGGAUAAAGUGGCCCACGUGUGGGUUUUUGCAGGUACCGCAUGAAUAAGGACCGGCUAAUUCCGUGCCAGCAGCCGCGGUAAUACGGAAGGUCCGGGCGUUAUCCGGAUUUAUUGGGUUUAAAGGGAGCGUAGGCCGCCCCUUAAGCGUGUUGUGAAAUGCGGGUGCUCAACAUCCGACUUGCAGCGCGAACUGGGGGGCUUGAGUGCGCCGAAAGUAGGCGGAAUUCGUGGUGUAGCGGUGAAAUGCUUAGAUAUCACGAAGAACUCCGAUUGCGAAGGCAGCUUACUGUAGCGCAACUGACGCUGAUGCUCGAAAGCGUGGGUAUCGAACAGG
rnacentral:rRNA from 1 species